AGUGAACGCUGGCGGUAGGCCUAACACAUGCAAGUCGAACGGCAGCACAGUAAGAGCUUGCUCUUACAGGUGGCGAGUGGCGGAAGGGUGAGGAAUACAUCGGAAUCUACUUUUUCGUGGGGGCGAACGCAGGGAAAAUUACGCUAUUACGGCAUACGACCUCAGGGCGAAAGCAGGGGAUCUUCGGACUUUGCGCGAGCGAUUGAGCCGAUGUCGGAUUAGCUAGUUGGAGGGGUAAAGGCCCACCAAGGUGACGAUCCGUAGCUGGUCUGAGAGGAUGAUCAGCCACACUGGAACUGAGACACGGUCCAGACUCCUACGGGAGGCAGCAGUGGGGAAUAUGGGACAAUGGGCGCAAGCCUGAUCCAGCCAUACCGCGUGGGUGAAGAAGGCCUUCUGGUUGUAAAGCCCUUUUGUUGGGAAAGAAAAGCAGCAGGUUAAUACCCCGCUGUUCUGACGGUACCCAAAGAAUAAGCACCGGCUAACUUCGUG
rnacentral:rRNA from 1 species